rnacentral:lncRNA from 1 species
CGGAGAUCGCGGCGGGGGGGGGGGUCACAACAUAAAAAUGCAAAGUGAGAAAGCAAAAUGCAUAGCCAAAGAAAACCCCCAACGCCCAGGGAAGCCUUGGCAGGAGGCCUGUGGGCGGCGGGGCUGCUCCAGGGCUGGCGUGGGACUCCAGGGGAUCAGGACAUCCCGGGAGGGAGCUCCGAGGGCUGCUCGGGAGGAAGAAGAAGGUGGCCUGGCGCGUCCACCCAAGAGGUUCCAAAUAAAAAGUGAACAGGAAGCAGAGAGAAGGGCUGGGCUUGGAAAUGCAUCGUGCACCAUCAUGCACAGCUGUGAGGCGCCUUCUUUUCAACCCCCCCCUGCCCAGCUGUUUUUCGCUAGCCCUGUUCAGAGACCAGGCUUUGAGGGAUGGUGGGCUGUGUCUGUCCGUGUGGAUAACAGGGGGAGGAAGAAUUCCAUACUGCCAUUUCUCUGUUGCAAAUCCCUCAGCUUUGUACCAAAUAUGGGAUCAAAAAACCUCAUUUCUCACUGGAUGUCUUAAUUCUGGCUUCAGCUUGUGCACAUAUUUGUGUUUAAACCAGGCUCACUGAUGCACUGAAAAGACCACACAGCAUGCUUGUAGUACCAAGAGAGAACCAGAAAUCCCUUCUAAAGUUAAGAAAUUUUAGUUCACUGGACUUGUACUAGUACUUAUUCAUUAAGAAAACCCAACUGGCAAAUAUUUGCAGACUACAAGCUGCAGUUUCAUAGUUUUGCAGAGUAGGCUUAUAUCUGUACAGUGGUGCCCCGCAAGACAAAUGCCUCGCAAGACGGAAAACUCGCUAGACGAAAGGGUUUUCCGUUUUUUGAGCUGCUUCGCAAGACAAAUUUCCCUAUGGGCUUGCUUCGCAAGAAGAAAAACGAAAACGUCUUGCAAAUUUGUUUCCUUUUUCUUAACACUGUUAAUACAGUUGUGACUUGACUUCGAGGAGCAACUCAUAGAACGCGGUGUGGUAGCCUUUUUUGAGGUUUUUGAAGAUUUGGUAUUUUUGAAGCUUUUCCAAAACGUCUUUUAAACUUUUAAAACUUUUUUUGGGGUUUUUGGAUUUUGGGUUGGGGUGUUUGGAAUUCAAGGACUUGGUGUUGGGGAGGCGUUUGCAAGAAUCUGGAAGCUUGUGUGGUUUUUUUCUGCAUUUUUAUGAUUUUCUGUGACCAUUGGGCCACUCUGCUGUUUUUUAAAAAAUUCUGGAUUUGAAUUUCUGUGUGGUGGGUGGCUGGGGGAACAGUUGAGGAGGGGUUUGCAAGAAUUUGGAAGCUUGUGUGGUUUUUUUCUGCAUUUUUAUGACUUUCUGUGACCAUUGGGCCACUCUGCUGUUUUUAAAAAAAAUUCUGGAUUUGAAUUUCUGUGUGGUGGGUGGCUGGGGGAACAGUUGAGGAGGGGGCUUCUUCAGCAAGAAGCAAAGAGUGGAAGAGGAACCUUCUUCGAGUUGUUCCCCAGAGUCUUAGAAAAUGUACUGUACACUUUGUUGAUUUUUAAAUGUUUUUCUGUCAUGUUUAGAAACUUAAUUUAUUGUUCCUUCAAUUUUUGAAAUGCUCUUUACAGUAUGUGUGACUUUAAAGAGCACUUAAUAAACUCUUGUUGUACCAAAUUUGGCUUUGUUUGGACUUUUUUUGACCAUAGGAACGCAUUAAUUGGAUUUCAAUGCAUUCCUAUGGGAUUUCGUGCUUCGCAAGACGAAAAAUUCGCUAGACGAAAAAACUCGCGGAAUGAAUUAAUUUUGUCUUGCGAGGCACCACUGUACCUACUGUAACGUGUUAACUUUCUGAGGAGAUGAAAAGCUAGGUGUCACCAAACUGUUAGAUCCCAAAACUAAGAACUUGUCAAGAAUGUAUAACUUGCUGUUGAAAUGGAAUACUCAGGAUGAAACGGUGAAAUCAACUAUGAUCAAAUGGGCACAAGAUGUAGGACAUAAUAUGAUGGCUGACUGGGAACAGUUAUGGACCACAGGUAUGACGUUUACGGCAUGUAAUGCCCUAAGAGAGAAUAUAAUGAAAAUGAUCUACAGGUGGUACAUGACACCAGUCAAGCUUGCAAAAAUAUAUCAUUUGCCCGAUAAUAAAUGUUGGAAAUGUAAAGAGACUGAAGGCACAUUUUUUCACCUUUGGUGGACAUGCCCAAGGAUUAAGACAUUCUGGGAGAUGAUUUACAAUGAAAUGAAAAAGGUAUUUAAAUAUACCUUUCUGAAGAAACCAGAGGCCUUUCUCCUGGGCAUGGUCGGCCAAUUGGUUCCAAAAAAGGAUAGAACUUUUUUUAUGUAUGCCACAACAGCAGCAAGAAUACUCAUCGCGAAGUAUUGGAAGACACAAGAUCUACCCACCCGGGAAGAAUGGCAGAUGAAGGUGAUGGACUACAUGGAACUGGCGGAAAUGACUGGCAGAAUCCGAGACCAGGGAGAAGAGUUGGUGGAAGAAGAUUGGAAGAAAUUUAAAGUUUAUUUACAGAAACAUUGUAAAAUUAAGGAACGUUAGAAGGAUGUUGGAAUGAAAUAAUGCGGUUUUAGCAGAAAUGGUUUAAAGGAUUAAGGAAAAAUAGAUUGCUAAAUGGUGAAGGAGGGAAAGUAAAGUUACAUUAUAUUAAGAUAAAAUAGAGGACAAAAACUGGAAAAGGUGGAAAGGAUUUGCUGAAAUAGCUAAUUGAACUAGAAUACAAAAAAGGGAGGUGUGAGGAGGUCAAGGAAAUAAGCAAAUGAAAGAUAAGAUAUGGGAAGAUUUAUUGUAUUUUUUCUUCCCCCCCCCCCUUUUUCUUUUUUUAUUAUUGUGAUGUGAUGUUUUGUAUUUCUUAAAUAUGCUGUUUUUUCUUUUUUUCUUUUUGUAACCCUUUCAAAUUCAAUAAAUAUUAUUUAAAAAAAAAGAAAAAGAAAAGCUAGGUGUCGCCAAUCUGUCACCCUUGGAGACCAAAUCCUAUUCCCACUGGUGCAAGCAUGUUUGGGAACCAGGUGCUCUAAUUCCAUUUGUUGGGUAGGAUGUGAGAAAGGACAGUUGUACACAUGUAGAAUCUGUACUUGUGAUGAGGAAUGCUGAUGCAACCAGGAUUCUUGAACACAUGUACAAUUCCUGCAUGUAUACAUGCUUUGUACAGUGAAUGGAGGUUAGGGCCAGCAUAUGCAAUCCCACUCCGCUCUGUGCACUACCUGACCUGCAAAGAAGUUUGUAAAGAAGAAAGCUGCUAUGCUUGCUUCCUGAUUAAUACUAUUCUUCCUAACUCGCACAGGAACAGCUGAAAUGUAGGACUGGUUGCUGGCAUUUUCAAGAGUCCUCUCUUGUUCUUUGGGGUUUAUCCACACUGAAAUUUAGUGUGGAUUAGAAUCUGAUUGUGUCCCAAUUUAUAUAAUGUCAUCCACACAAUGUCACUCAAAUCUCAGUGUUUUCUACCAGUAAAUUAUUUUUUUCUGGAUUUGAAGAUAAUCCACAGGGGAGGGGGAUGCAUGUUCAAUAAAUUGGCAGUGGACACUUGGCAUCAUUUCCCCCCCUCUGGGUGGAACUGGCUUGUUACCAACUCUUUCCACACCCUCUAUUUGUGUUUUCUUUCUCAUUCGUUUUCUGGCAGCUGUGUAUCACUCUGGCAGUGAAGUAACCCUCACCCCCACAGUUAAACCCUUAGAUUUGUGGAUAAGCUGAAAUCUGAUCAUACAAACUGCACCACUACAAUCUUUCCCCAAACUUGUGCACACUGCUUGUUUCCUCAUUUAUGUCAUAUUGUGUAUACUUCCUGAAAUGGAGCAGCAGUGAGUACUUUUUUUUUAAUAGUUAAAUCCUCAGAUUUGUGCAUAAGUAGAAAGCUGAGGCAUGACAGAAACACAUAUUCAAUAAAUCACACAUCCUGGGCAGGACUUUUUUUUAAAGGGGUGUGCUCACAGGCUUUAUGUUACCUGUGCACAUGCCGUUUGCCUUAGAAUGGAGAGAAUGAUUGGGGUGUGGCAGUGGAAUUUAGAAACAACUAGAUGUGAUAUUGCUGGUAGACUGGACACAUGGGUGAGGGGAGGACAUAAGUCUGAAUUUGAACUGAAGGAUUCAACUUCAAAUGCACACAGAUGUGGAUUGCCAAGAUCAAAUUUGAACUGAAAAGCUGCACAUUGCAGUUUCAACCAAGCCCUUUGUUUCAUUGCUAAUGAAAAUUGCUAAUUAAAAUAAAAUUUAACUAGAAAUUAUAGUUUUAAUUUUGCCACUAUCAGUAUGCCAUCAAUGCUAAAUACAUUUUAAGAAAACAUGCAAGUAACAUGUUAGUGUUUCAGCAGCAGUUAUAUUGUCAGUCAUGUCACUGAAAGGGUUUCUGUAUAAACUGAAAAGAUAAGACUGAGUUGUCAAACCUGAACUUUGGAGGUCCUACCCUGUUUUCUCUUAAUAGCGUUUUACUGCAUACGCACCAGACAUUAAAAACACAUUUCUGCUCCUCCAAAAAGGUCCCCAGAACUCACUUUUAAGGGUUGCUGGAACUGCACCUCUGUAAGGGGUACAGUUCCCAGCAUUCUUUUGGGCGGGGGUGCUUUAAAUGUAUGGUGUGUAUUUUCAAAGCAUUUUAAUAAAAGCUCACACUUAACGUUUGUGUGGUGUAGUGCAGGGGUCACCCAUAUGCUGCCCACCAGAUAUUGGGACUCCCAUCAGCCCUAGCCAUUGUGGCCAAUGGUCAGGUGAUGGAGUCCCACCAACACCUGGAAGGCUAUUCUGCACGUACUGGUUAGAAUUUCAGACUAUGGCUAGGGAGUCCUAGGUUCAAAUCUACAUUCACUGAACCAUGGAAUUUACAGUGACUUUGAGACCAUCACUAUAGCCCAGUGCACAUACACACUGCAUGAACAGACAGCAGGCACAGAAUGGGCAGACAUACCUGUGGCUGCACAGCAUGAGUGGCUGCCCACCUAAGGUCCACACUUGGGGUGUGAAUAUCGGUGAAGAAAAGCCUGCAGGUGUAGACCUCCAGUAGCAUAGGCUUUUCCUGUGCUCAGUAACUGUAAAAUCAGUGUUGAAGAACACAGGGAACAUUUUUAUUUUUUGCAUUUAUGCCCUACCUUUUCCUCUAAGGAGCUCAAGGAAGAACACAUGGUUCUCCCUCUCUUCCUUUAAUCCCCACAACAACCCAGGUUAGGCUGAGAGGCAGCAACUGGCCCAAGGUCACCCAGUAUAGUAUAGUAUAGUAUAGUAUAGUCGUACCUUGGUUCUCGAACGCCUUGGUACUUGUAUGUUUUGGCUCCCGAAUGCCACAAACCUGGAAGUAAGUGUUCUGGUUUGCAAAUGUUUUUUGGAAGCUGAAGAUCCGAUGCAGCUUCUGUGGCUUCCAAUUGAGUGCUGGAAGCUCCUGCAGCCAACUGGAAGCUGCGCCUUGGUUUUCGAACGAUUCCGGGAGUCAAAUGGACUCCCAGAAUGGAUUAAGUUUGACAACCAAGGUACAACCAUAGUAUAGUAUAGUAUAGUAUAGUAUAGUAUAGUAUAGUUUAGUAAUUAUAUAUGAUUCUAGAAGGUAGUGGCUCAGUAGCAGAGCACUGCAUGCAAAAGGUCUGAGGCUUAAUCCCUGGCAUCUUGAGGGAUAGUUAGGAGACUCCGUCUGAUCCCCUGGAGAGCCAUUGCUAAUGUAGAAAAUAAUAAACUGGGUGGACCAACGGUCUGACAGGAUAAGGCAGGCUUUUAUGUUCCUAACUGUUUAACUGGACAAUAGCCUCUCAAUGUGAGGUAAACACACAAUUUGGCCCUUAAAUUGGUUUUUGAAGCAGAUGUGACUUCCUUUCGAACUCUUCCGAAUAGCAGACAUUUCUUAUACAGUAAGUCUACUGAAGCAAUUAUUUCCCUUUGAUCAGCUACUGAAAAUGUGCUUAUAGUUGUACAACUUUUGACAAUAUUUUGUUACCUCCACAUUAUCAAUGGGGUGGAUCCUUUUCCAGUGCACUACUAAUGAUUGAAGCAAACCUAAUAAUACAAUGCUAGGACACUUAAUAUAAUUGAAGCAAGGAAUCAAGUAACAGUUGAAGCUCAGUGUACAAGAAUUUAUAUUGUCUCAUUAUUUGAAAGCUUUCUGCUGCUGCUAUCUGAUACCUCUUCAAUAAGAAUAGGCCUAAUAUUGCAAGCAGUAAUUCUUGCCGCCUUUUGUGUAGCUCAAUGGAGAACGCUGAGUAUUACAAGUGUACAGUGUCUUCAAUACACCAACUUAUUCAUUAUUUCCAGUCAUUUAUAUUGAUAGAAUGUUGAAAUAUGGAUUUUGUAACUUACUGCAUUGGAGGUUUUUUAAAACUCGCUUUAGUCAUUUCUUAGUAUUGAAUUACCAACCUGUCCCAUUCUGAGAAUAUGUAGGUGAAUAAACUUUAAAACUGGGAGACAAUAAGAUGGUGUGAGCAUAUCAUAUAAGCUUAAAACCUACCGGUAGUUACUAUAAAGUGAGGCCAUUGGAUUUGGGUUCAUGAGAGAAGACAUGAAAGACCUUAAAAGUUAUAUUCCGCUGACUACACUUUUAAGUUAAUUAAAAGUGGGUGGGGGACAUGCCUUAAAAUAUGACAGCUGCAAAUACUUCAUGUCUAUUCUUCCUCCACUGAAUAUAAGGUAUUGGCUAAAUAAAUAACUCGUUCAUCAGCUUCUGGCGGCAAUUUCCAGAAUGAUUUUCAUGUAAGUCUAUCGCAGAAAAAUCAAAGAGUCUUGUGGCAUCUUUGUGACUCACUGUAGAUUUCCCUUGGAUUACGCCCCCUUGCAGAGAACACAGAGUGCACAUGCACUGUGCAAAAAGGAUGCGCAAAUGGCUGUAAACCAAACAUGGAGGUAAACUGUCUUGUGGUGAACACUGUAGGCAUUCAACUCUUAACAGUUGCUGAUGGUCAAGCACUCAGUAACCACGACUCCUUUCAGGAAGAGAGCUUGACUUGCAUGAGAAAAACUGUAAAUGCUGCACAGAGGCUUCCACAACAACCAACAGAGGGUUAGCAAAUACUGCUUCAUUGACUACAAUCCCUUCUCCACAAGGAAGAUCCCUAAUGCAGACAGCAAAAGGAUAAUCUGUGGGAGGCUGAUGCACUGAUGCACCGAAGUGAUGUCUGUUUGUCUCUCAUUCAUUCACCAGCACCUUCUGAAGUCCUUUGCAGCUGCAGGGACUGGGAUCUACUUGCUCCCCCAUUCACAUAAAGGGCAUGUGGGCACCAGGCCUGCUAGGAGGUCAUGGAGGUGUGGCCAAGUUGUUCUGUUUUUAUCCCUCCUGGGCUCCUCGUGUUGAGGGCAUCUCCUCCUCCUCUCUGACAGUUCACCUUACAACUGCCAUCCUGAGCCAGCCAGGACUGCAGAAGCCAUGACACCCCUUCCUGUGUAAUCACACCCCUUUUGACAGUCCUGGGUCUCUCUGGGUCAAACAUGGAGGAUUCUGGAGCUAUCUCAACCAGAUCCAGCUAAAUCCCAGAUGGACUUGAAUCAAGGUGAUUCAGUUCAGAAUCCAGGAUUUGUCCAUGUCUGAUACACAACCUUAAUAAGCACACCCACACCCACACACCCCUUUCCAAACUUCUCAGAUAGGUUAUUUCUGCUUCAAACCUUUAGCCUUUGAGUUCCCUCACAAUCAGCUGUAGUUGCUCCAAACAACUUGCAUAAGUGGGAUUAACCCUUGUUAGUCCCCUCCUCCCAAAUCAAAACAGGAAGUCUCUUUAUGCCUAGUAUAGAAAGGACGUAUCAGGGGUGAGAGUGCCAAGAAAAACACAAUUCCCAUCAUGUAUCUGUGUCAACAAGUUUCCAGGCUCAUAACAUCCAUUGCUAUAUUAAAAAAUAUAUUACAUGUCCUAGAACAGAGGUUCCCAAACUUAUUUGGCCUACUGCCCCCUUUUCAGAAAAAAAACCCUACUCAGCACCCACUUUAAGUGAACAAACAGAAAGAUACAGUGACAAAUUUGCAUUCUUUUAUGCACCUAUAUUUCUACCUACAUCUUGUAUCAUUCUAAAGAAAGAUGUUAUAAAUAAGACACCUUGAAGCUUGAACUCUGUGUUACAUUGGUAAGUGUCAUUACACAACAGAUGAAACAGGUACAAAUGGUUUUUCAAAAAAUUAUUUUUUCUUUAUGUUUCCACUGCCCGCUUAUUUUUAUUCAAUGCCCCUCCCCAUUGCACCUGAGGCUACUAUGCCACCCCUGGAUCCUUCCAUCACCCCAGGGGGGAAUCGCCCACUUUGGGAAACACUGGCCUAGAAUAUAUUUGAAGAGGGCCUCCCACUCCUCUCAGUGUACGAAACUUUUUCAUUUCAUCAGCUUAGAAACAUUUAAAUAAUGAUGAUUAUUUAAAUUCUCCCAAUUCCCCCAUGCCUUAUCCAUAAAAGAAAAGAAAAAAUGCUAAAAUAAAAACGACAGGAGUAAAGUACUUCUGGGAAAUGAUAUAUAAUGAGAUGGAAAAGAUGUUGAAAUAUACAUUCUUAAAAAAACCAGAAGCAUUUUUACUUGGUAUUAUAGGCCAAGCCAUUAAUAGACAAUAUGCUAAACUGUUCUUAUAUGCAACAACAGCGGUUAGAGUAUUGUUAGCCCAGAAAUGGAAGCAAGAAGAAAUUACGACGAAAGAAGAAUGGCAGACAAAAUUAAUGGACUAUGCAGAAUUGGACAAAAUGACAGGAAGGAUUCAAAACCUGCGGGACCAGAGAUUUACAGAAGACUGGAAGAAGUACUUGGAUGAUGGACUCAAGGGCAUCCUGAUCAAAUUUGCAGAUGACACCAAACUGGGAGGGGUGGCUAACACCCCAGAGGACAGGAUCACACUUCAAAACGACCUUGACAGAUUAGAGAACUGGGCCAAAACAAACAAGAUGAAUUUUAACAGGGAGAAAUGUAAAGUAUUGCACUUGGGCAAAAAAAAUGAGAGGCACAAAUACAAGAUAGGUGACACCUGGCUUGAGAGCAGUACAUAUUAAAAGGAUCUAGGAGUCUUGGUUGACCACAAACUUGACAUGAGCCAACAGUGUGACACGGCAGCUAAAAAAGCCAAUGCAAUUCUGGGCUGCAUCAAUAGGAGUAUAGCAUCUAGAUCAAGGGAAGUAAUAGUGCCACUGUAUUCUGCUCUGGUCAGACCUCACCUGGAGUACUGUGUCCAGUUCUGGGCACCACAGUUCAAGAAGGACACUGACAAACUGGAACGUGUCCAGAGGAGGGCAACCAAAAUGGUCAAAGGCCUGGAAACGAUGCCUUAUGAGGAACGGCUAAGGGAGCUGGGCAUGUUUAGCCUGGAGAAGAGGAGGUUAAGGGGUGAGAUGAUAGCCAUGUUCAAAUAUAUAAAAGGAUGUCACAUAGAGGAGGGAGAAAGGUUGUUUUCUGCUGCUCCAGAGAAGCGGACACGGAGCAAUGGAUCCAAACUACAAGAAAGAAGAUUCCACCUAAACAUUAGGAAGAACUUCCUGACAGUAAGAGCUGUUUGACAGUGGAAUUUGCUGCCAAGGAGUGUGGUGGAGUCUCCUUCUUUGGAGGUCUUUAAGCAGAGGCUUGACAACCAUAUGUCAGGAGUGCUCUGAUGGUGUUUCCUGCUUGGCAGGGGGUUGGACUCGAUGGCCCUUGUGGUCUCUUCCAACUCUAUGAUUCUAUGAUUCUAAGUAUAUGAAUUAUUUGAAGAGCAACUGUAAUCAACAAAUUACGCUAGCAGGACUACAAGAAGGUUUGUAAGGCGAAAUAUACGAAGUGUUACAAAGUAGAAAAAGAUAGAGACCUUGGUUAUGAGUUUGAAAUGUAAUAGGGAAAAUAAGAAAUGCAUACUAAGAGAUUAGAUUGGAAAAUUUUCAGACAUGACUGAUGGAAGUCAAAAAAAUUGAAUAAGAUGUAAAAGUAUGUUUAAUUACUGUUAAAAAUGGUAUGAUAAAAAACAUAUAUAUAUAUAUAUAAACACGACAGGAGACUCACAGGGUGUCCAUUGGUACUUGCUCACACAAAAGGCAAGUCAGUGAAAGAAAAGGCAGGCAAGCAGAAUGGCUGGCCAGGCAAGCCCUCCUGCUGUGGGGCCUGAUGCUAAGUGUGGCCCUCAAGGAAACAGCUCUUUGCAUGCUCAGAAAACAUAAUAUGGUCUAAUUUUCUGCUGUGGCUGUAUGCUAACUCCUGUGUCCUGAUUGGCCGGUUUGCCAUCAAGAGAAGAUGAGAGAGUGGAGAUCCAAGGUAUCCACUGCCCUAGAAAAAUGCAAAAAAUGUUCAUGUGGUUUUCGUGCCUGGAGAUGGAUGGAAGAGAUCUUGUGGCCACAGCAAUAUAGUUUGCUUGAGUGGUGUAAGAGCUAAUUGCCCAGAGAAUGGGAGAGUGACAGAAAUAUUUCCAGCAGUCUCUCUUAUGUUCAGAUUGAAGGAUAAGAACGUGUGUGUUGGACAGGAAAGUGUGUUGUGUUCAAAUUUUGGAGAAAACUUAAAAUGAUUGCUUGAGGUUUCACUUGGUAGGGCAGUACCCAGGUUGCCCUAAUAGAGCAGCUUCCACUGAACACAGGACUUACUUUAAAAAAAGGCAAAGUGAAAAAUGUCAAAUUUCAGAAUAAAUUACAACCCAAUAAUUUAUUAAUGUAUUAAUUAUUAUUAAUAAUAUUUAUAGUAUAAUUAUAAAUUAUAACCUAAUGCAGGCAUGUGGAAAGGAAUGAGAUCCAACUUGGGGAACUGGUAGCAUUUGAUUUGCAGGAAACAGCAGCCUCCAAGGCCCGUUAUUAUGGACGAGGUACAAAUCUUAAUCAGGUGGUCAACUAGUUGAAUUAUUUCAAUUUAAAAAUGCAGUGGCAAAUUAACUAUAGGCUGGAAACUCAGCCAUUCACCAUUUUGGUUCAUGGGCAUGGCUGUUAAUACAGAUAUUGUUUCAUUCAGCUAACAUUUAUUCACUGUAGACCUUGAGUAAUUAAUUUCAAUGGGUCUGCUCUGAGGAAAAGUUAGCAGAGUGCAACUCAUAGUCAGAAUCUGUUCACUCAGAUCCACAGGAACAGCUGAGAUUUAAGAAAUGGGCAAAGAUCAGUGUUUUCGUUUUGUGCCAUUUCACCUCAAAAUAUGCAACUGCUUUCUGCAUUGUUCAUUAUGGGGCAUUUGUAGUUUUCUCAGUGGUCAUAGAUUUCACAUAAGUUAGCCAUACAGUUAAAAAUGUUUCAUUCAGUAUGUGGUAUUAAAUUUCACAUUCAGUAUGACAGAUACCUUAUUAAAGCCCCCUGUAAUGGGAAUUUUGUUGCCUAUUCUGAGCUCUUAUGAGAUCAUAAAAAUUAGGUGUUGGUAACUAGACAGUUAUUUUAAUACCUAGUACCUGAAAUUUCCCAAACAUAUGCUUUUAUAACGCUGUGAAAAUGUAGUGGGUGAUACUAGAAGGAAUGUUAGAUGACAGGUGACUUGAAAAUAUCAGAUACCUUAUGUUGAGGCAGCAAGGAUAGAAGACAUGCAAAUGCUGAGGAAGUCCUACAGCCGUGGUGAACUCUCCUUUUGGAGGUUUUUAAGCAGAGGUUGGGUGGCCAUCUGUCACGGAUGAUCUAGUUAAUAUUCCUGCAUUGCAGGGGGUUGAUGAAUCACAGAGUUGGCAGGGACCCCAAAGGUCAUCCAGUACAACCCCCUGCAAUCGCAGCUAAAGCAUCCAUGACAGAUGGCCAUCCAACCUCUGCUUAAAAACCUCCAAGAAAGGAGAGUCCACCAUCUCUCCUGGGAGUCUGUUCCACUACUGAACAGCUCUUACUGUCAGAAAGUUUUUCCAAAUGUUUAGUUGGAAUUUCCUUUCUUGCAACUUGAAGCCCUUGGUUCGAGUCCUACCACCCAGAGCCGGAGAAAACAAGCAUGCUCCCUCUUCCAUGUGGCAGCCCUUAAGAUGACCCUCAAGGUCACUUCCAACUCUACAGUUCCAUGAUUCUAACAUCCAGUUUUCAGCUUUGUUUACUCCUAAAGCGUGAUCACACUUUCAGUAUUAAAAAUAGGCUUGCACAUUCUUUCCUUUGACAAAAACUUUCAUGCAACUGCUUUUAAAGAACUUCCUUUCUUGGUGUUAGAUAUACAAAAUAGCUAUACGUUAACUUUUUUAUAAAUUUGCAACCAGAAAGCAACGGAGAAAUAAGAUAUUUUAUAUUAUACCUUGUCUCCCUACUCCAGAAAGAUAGAUAUAUUUAUUUUUUACAAUAGGCAUACUGCAAUAUCUGACUUUGAAAACUUUUGCUAUGUUCUUUUGAACCAAGACAGCAGCUGUCCAGAAGAUGAAGAAGUUAAUUUGCUCAAGCAAUUGCUGUAUCUUGUCAAGAAAACCACUUCAUAGAGAAAUGGUUAUAAUUUGAAUUGCUAAAUUACAUCUAGGACUGGCUGAAUAGUUAAAAUACAUGCAUUCACUAUUUGUUAUGAGGAAUUUUGUACUGUACAGUAGAUAGGAUCCAAUAAGCCUUUUUAUUGCAUAUACGUUUUGUUAUGAUUGUAUUGAAACCAAGUCAUUGGGGCUAAAAACCUGAUUUCAGGAGAAUCUGAAUCUUGUUCCCAAAACCAACGUAUAUAUACCUUGAAGAAAUCUGGAUUAGAGUCCUUUAAGGUGGUUGAAACCUGUUUUUGUAUGCCUACAUUGCAGAAAACCUCCCAACUUGCAAGAAAUUGGGUUUCAGUGUCCCCAUAGCAAAUUUCACACCUUUGUGCAGAUAGAACUAAAUUGAAUAGGGCAAUCUGCACAUUUACUCAGAAGGAAUUCCAGGUGUCUUAAAUGGGACUUAUUCCCUAGUAAAUGCGCAUAGGAUCACAACCUUACUGGUAUAAAGUCUAGUCUGUACUUUCAUGCAACACUUCAUGGCUGUGCUCUGCUGUUCGGAUGCAGUUUUAGGAACAGGCCCCCCACCCCCAUCUUUAAAGAUGUAUAUCUUAGAAGUCUGUGACAAAGAUGAAAAGAGUUGCUGUAGGUGUGUCUGAGAGUUUGGACAUGCCCAAUUUCAAUUUUACUGUUUCUUUAAAUAGUAGGUCCGUGGCUCAAACAAACCAAAAUCCCCACCUUGGACAAUGCGAAGUCGGGGAUUGUGGUUUCUUUCUGUUGAAAGUGGGACGUCUCUGUCUGUUCACAGUAAACCAUGAAUUGUGGUUUAUUGUGAUGUGUGAAUGCAGCCAGUGUGUUCUGAGAAAGUUUGAGGGGUUUUUUAAAGCCUUAAAAGUGUGCUUUGUUAAAAACAGGGGGAAAAGGCAGAAGGUUUUGUACUUACCCCUGCCAGCAUGGAGACAUUUCCAGUUAGCAAUGUAACUGGCUAGACUUGCUCUUGAAUAUUCUGAAGGCUUUUCCCAGUGAGCAAGAUAGUUAGUUCCAAGAUAGGAGCAGUGUGAUGAUGUUCAGUUGGUGCAUGAUGCUGAAAUUGUCUUGCAUGGGUUUCAUCAAAUCUUCAUAGGCAUUUUUAACACCCAAGGCUUCCGCAGAUCCUGUCCAUUAAGCUUUGUCUGAAAUUAAGCCAAGUCUGAAUUCAGAGGAGAUAAGAAAACUAUGCUUAAUCCAUUUGUUCUGGAUUUGAAGGGAGGGUAGAGAGGGAAAUCUGCCUGGCCACCCCUCCCCACAUGCUGAUAAAAGCACAGGAAAGGAAAAAGCCACAUCUGUCAGUCACAAAAUGAUCAGCACCAUCAAAAUGAUGCCCUACAGGUUUUCUGCCAAAGGAAAACUAACAAGACAUGGGGAGGUCCUCUGAAUGGGUUAGGGUGGGACUUUAUCAGCCAGGGGGCAGAGCCAGACGACUCUCUCGCUGUUCCUGUCCUUGGAUUAUGCCAUAUGGAGCAGAGGGAAGCGCCAAGGGAGAGAAAAAACACCCUGCAACAGGAGAGGGUAUGUGCUGCCUUCCAGAAGGUUUCAGGUUUUGUCUUUUCUGGCUCACGCAUCAAAUCAGGAGCAGCCGCCUCGCCAUACCAAGAUCUGCUGCACGCUAUCAGACAUAUGACUGAGUAUUCCAGCUAAUUUUAUUUGCUUUAAGGAUUUGAGCAAGCAAAAUUUCUCUUUGCUGGUUUAUAAAUUCAUUCUGAAAUGUUAAACGUGAGGGUAGAAAAGUUAAAUGCAAUCACUAGACAACUGAGGAAAUACUGAUGCAACAGCGUUGCUGGAAAUAUCUAAUGUGUAUGCCGUAUUCAAAGUUUGUACAAAGAGAGCUAUUCAGAAGUUUAGAACCUCUCAAAAUAGCGAAAUCUGGGAAUGGGCAUGUUUUGAAAAGGAAUUUAAGCCUUAAAUCCCUGCAUUCAAAUGCGGGAAGGAUAGACAUGGUAUAGAUACAGUUAUGAAAUUGCUCAGUGUUGAAGCAGCAGUUAUGAAGACUGACUUGAUGACAAUAUAAUGACAGUGCUUUCUUAUGCUUUCUUAUGGUAUUUUAUGUGAAUUGUCCAAGUCUUCCACACACACACACACCAUUUCUUUUUGGUAAUACAGUAUGUCUAAAGACUAACUUGCUCCGAGUCUGUAAAGCAAAAUAAUUUCCGGAAGGAACAAAAUACAGUUCUCAGUGUUUUGUUUUUUUUUGGGGGGGGGGGUUAACUGGUUAUCCAGACCAAACAUUGAAGCAGUGAGUGCAUUAACAUUUGCCAUGUGCCUAAUCUUGUAUUAAGCUGUUGUAAAAGAUUAAAAGGUUCUAUUUGCACUAGGUUCGCAGGAGUUUCCUACCUUCAUUGGAACUAAGACUUAAAAUCUGACUGAAAAAAUGUAAAGGAUACAGACUGCAAGAAACCAAAAGAAUAAUCUCUAAGGUUUCUCUCCACCCCAUCCCCAUAAUUAAGUGUACCAUCAGUUCACACAGAUAAGAGAAAUAAUUAAUUACAAAAUGCCUAAAGUUAUAUAUGCAGUUUAAAGUUAAACUGUUCAAUAAUUCAUAGAAGGAGGCCUUGCCCUUUCAAAGCGUUAUCUUGUCUGCUGUAUCGCAGUCUCAGUACUGGGUUUUACAAAUACAACCGGGUAUACUCUGGAUGCCAGACAUAUUAGCCAAAAAUGCUAAUAUAAAAUUUAGAAUGACUGGUGCCAACUUGCAACUAUUUGGUUCCAGGUCAAAACUUGCCUUUUUGGCCAAGCAUUUUAAAGUUAAUUUUAAAGUCUAUUUUGAUUGUUUGUCUUUUCGUUUUUUGUAUUGUUUUUAAUGAAACAAGAAAUAAAAGGAAAAGGCAGCUGAGCAGUUCUGACUUGUCCUUUAACACUGGGUCCAUUUCAGACAAAUCCAGGUUUGCCACAGAAUGUACAUUCAACAGGGAGCUGCAACUAAUUCCAUUUCUCCUGCAUGUUUUUGCUCCAUUCACUUUUCAAUGUGCACUUAAGCGCCUUAGGUGAACUCUCUUACGGACAAAACUUUUAAGUGAAUUUUGAAAUAAAUAAUGUGGUUGUCACAAAUGAUUCCUGGAACUUCCUUAUGGGCCACUGUCAGCAUUUCCAAACCUUAAGCAAUGUGUCAGUUUGUUAAAAAUGGUGCCAUGUACUAGUCUAUAAAUAACACUCAAGUCAUGCUCCUGACUUGCUUUGCUGCAUAGUGACUCUUUAAUUGCUUUCCUCCUUCAGAGCCUUUAUCUAUUACUUGAGACUUCCAUUAUCUAAACAUCUUCUUGUGAUUUAAUUUCAGAAUCCUGGUAACAGGUGACAGACUGGCUGCACACAGCGGUGUUGUUCCACAAUAAUGUUUGACUUCUUACUGGGUGGCUGGAGAAUGCCAAAGGCAGAGAAGAUAUACAAUACCUUUUAUAAUUUUAAAUAUUGAUCAAGGUGAGCAAUACACCUACUUCAUUACAGAAUGUCUUACGGUAAUGGUGAAACUGGUGGGCACCCAAUGUAUAACCUUUGCAGUAGAGUUCAGCAUUCUGACUCCCAAGUGGGGAACCUGAAUGGACACAGGAAGUCUGCAACCUUUUUGGAAGUGCGAGCAAACUUAAACAAUAUGCAGUACUCUUCUGUGGCACUUGAUCCCGAUUCUUUGGUGACUAAUGGAUCAAAAAUUUAUUCGAACUCUGAAGAAGAAAAUCCACAUGAUCCUGCUUUCCAGAUAAACACCGAAUCCAUGACAGGAAGUGAGGUACACCGGGCCUACCCUACAAAAUGCUUUUAUGGCCCAUACUUAACCAAAACUAGUAUGCAGGGAGAUGUGUACAACUUUCUGGAACGGCCGAGUGGAUGGAAGUGUUUCAUUUAUCACUUUGCAGUGUAAGUACCUUUUUUCCUCUCCAUAUGACUAUUUCCUUGUUGUGAACCUGCACUUUUUUGAUUUCACAGAAAGUGAACUAUUGAGCUUAAUAUGCAAAUACAUUUCCUGGGAGUGUGGAUCAAAUAAAAUGCUAGCACCAGAACAAAGCAGGAGUAUGUGAAUCCAUCCAUCCACCCAUCUGAUUCCGCCCCCCUAUAACUUUUGACUUCCCUCAGAAUUCCUUAACUGUUUUGCCAGAUGACUCCUCAAAAUCAAAUGGAAUUUCUUUUAUGCAACAUUUUGAUAGGCCAUUCCAGAACACUUUAACUUAAAGAUGUAUUCGGUGGGAGCUUGUGUAAUUGUUAAGAAUACAAUAGACUGAAAGACUCUGAAAGACAAAUCUUACUUCAGCCAUGAACUUACCAGUUGGUCUUAGUUAAGCUGAUGUUUUUUCAGUCUUAGCAGACAUACAUACAUACGCUCCAUCUACAAUGUCAGGAUAAUGGUGAUGAAACAGACGGUUGUAAGGAUUACUGGGAGAAUGGGCAUAUGGAACACUCUCAUGCUCAGAAAGCACCCAAGCAGCAGCAAUGGCUAAUCUAUCUUUUCUUUAGAUAUGACUGACCCUUGCUUUAUCAAGGCUUGCUAAUAUUAUGGUUUUAUUUGUUUAUUUUGCCCUUCAUAUUUUUUAUAAUUAUGGGGAAUCAGCUAGCAUUAAUUUUAAUAGGAACUGAUUCCAUGUAAUUGUAGGGUCAGCUCUCUACAUAGGUGCCUUUACACAGCUACCUGCAAAUGCUAUUUGGAUGACUGAUGUGGUUCAGAAGGUCCUAGGCUGCGCACACACUACAGUUUAGUGUGCAUUCAGUGCAUACCGUGUGCUUGGCUUUUAAAAAUUAUUAUUGUACAUGAGACUUCAACCCCAAUGCAGACACAUCCUGUUUUUUCUGAUGACUUGAUGUGUUUCCCCCCACGAACCAGGUUUGAUGUGAAAAUAGAUUUUAAGCCUAAAUAAAUUCACAUUUCAGCCCAUGUGUGUACAAGAGAAAGAGCAUGUGAACAGUACACUUUUUGCUGUGGCUCCCCUCAUGGUGAUGUUGCAGUGGGUGUGUAGCGCUGCAGAGAACUGCACUUCCUUUAUGCUUCUCAGGACGCACUUAGCUUCUAAUUGUUCAUUCGCUUCCACAUUUACCUUAGUUUAUGCUUUAUCAGUGGGUUACUGCUGGGCUGGGGGACACGCUUUAUUUUGGUGAAAGUCUGGUGUAUCAGGAAACUUGUUUCUGAAAAAAUUUAGAAACUGCUUGGCUGCACACAAGCAAACAAAUUCCUGCCUGCAAUGGACCUCAUCUCUCCUGAACUCAGAGAGAGUAGGCUACUGCUGGGGCUGAAAGGGACACGUUGUUUUUUUUUAAGGGUUAAAAGUUAAUCUGCUGUUUGGUGACAGUCUGGUAUACCAUACUGGAAAACGUGUAUAACAACAACAACUGUGCAUACACAAGGUAAAUAAAUACUUGCACAGUGGGGCGUGGAAACACAGGGGGAGGAGUUGAGAACGCAGGUGUGGGGGUUAGUGUUAAUUAUAUGUUUCUGUGUUUUUAUACUGCAAACCACCCUGUUAUCCUUGGAUGAAAGGCUGUAAUUAAAUUUAAUUGAUGAUGGUGAUGAUGAUGAUGAUGAUAUGGCUGCUGCUUCAGCUAUCAGUGUAAUGCACAGGUAUGGACAAACUAUACAGAUGUGCACAGAAAAAAGAGCUCUGUGCAUUUCAAACACUUUGUGUGCACACAGCCCUACUUUCAAUCCCAGCGUGAUGCAGUCAAAGGGAUCCAGGUGCUUCUGUGUCCUGCUUCACAGAGACAUCUCUCUCUCUUGAAGAGCUACCAGGCUGUCUGGCCCAGCGUGAUUUCUAAUGUUGCUUAUGUGAGAUUUGGGGUGGGUACUCUUUCAUGGCUUAAGAAUCCAGGAGCUAAAAUUAGGUUAGCUUCUGUUCUUUGUGUUUUUCCUUAGCCAUGUGGCCUAAGAAAUCAGACAGUGUGUUUAUGAGGCUAAGAAGACAACAUUAAUGUUGAUUCUACAAAGGAGCUGGCAUGCCACAAGGCAGACAGAAAUUGCCUCACCCAGGGCAGCUUAAUGGAGAUAGUAGAGAGGAAAUUGUGUUUGGUGGCCUGGAAGGGUCAGUACUGCUCCACAGUUGUCAUAAUUUCUCCCUCUGUGAGAAUUCUCUCAAAACUUCAGUGCCAGCUUCCAGCUCAGCAAACUUACUUAAUAGCAAAAAAAUGGUCUGAUGAAUUGUACCCUAAAGCACCUCCUGCAGAAGUCACUUUCAUGUGGUUCUUGUUUUUAGUGUUAGACCAUUUGAGUAAAUCAACGUUCAUAGAAUCAUAGAAUUGGAAGAUACCCCAGGGUCAUCUAGUCCAACCCCCUGCAAUGCAGGAAUCUCAGCUAAAGCAUCCAUGACAGAUGGCCAAUCUCUGCUUAAAAACCUCCAAGGAAGAAGAAUCCACCACCUCCCAAGGGAGACUGUUCCUGUUAAGUUGUGGGUGAACAUAUCAGACGACACAGCGAUUCUUCAAACAGCUCUAGUUUAUUCACAGGCCAAAACAGAACUGAUCUGAAGGGCUCAGCCAGCCUGCUUAUAUAGUGCUCAAAUACAAGGCAACAGUAACAAUUUUCUGUAAUUAUCCAAUCACUGAACGUCACUUUCAUUUCCUUAUUUGCAUAUGUGGACCUGAGUGAAAACUAUCUACAAUAUCCCCCUGCUGGCCCAGGGUGAGAACUUCAGUACAUAAUACCCCUCCCCACUGAGAUAAGGCGUUAGUUACAAUCGUAAUGGUACUACUUGUAAUCGUUCAAUUAGGCACAAAAGCAUAUCGGUUACAUUUCACAUAUUUUCAUUAGACUGACAGUGUUACACGUCCAACAACAUAGUCCUUUAAAUAAGUUGGGCACUUGGAAACUGCUGGACUGCCGAGGGCCAGGGGGCCGCCCUAUUCUUGCUGAGGCUGUGGUGCAACCCUAGGUGGCGUUGAACCCAAGUCCCCUGGAUCCGCUUCUGUGGGUGGAAACUCUGCGAGUGGAGUUGGCGGAAUGUCAGGCAUGGCAGUGGUCUGAGUCUGUGGGAAGUCUGGCAGACCCUCUGAAGCGGCUUGGUUCGGCUCCACGCCCGCAGUUUGCGAGAGAGGUGUAGGUGGAGCCUCGCCAUCUGUAAGUGUCUGUUCUGGAGCCACGAGCGCAGUUGGGGGCACCGCGGUAGUGUCCAAAUCCCCAACUCUGUGCCUAAGCUGGUCUAUGUGCCGGCGCCACAAACGUCUGUUUUCGAGUGCCACCUGGUAUGAGCGAGGUCCAGUGACUCCCACUACUGUGGCUGGCACCCAAGGAAUGCCCCCCACAAAGUUCCGGGCAAAGACCUGGUUUCCUGGAACAAAUGACCGUGGCGCGUUAGCACAGCCUGGGGGUUCAGCCAUGGCAAAGUCUGGGUGCAGCCGGUCGAGUGGAGAUCUGAGGCGGUGGCCCAUAAGCGGAGACGAGGACAUCAGGACACCCAUGCAUUGCAAAGAGGCCUCGCAGCACCCGGAUGACGGCCUUGGUAAUGGAGGGCGUCAGGACCACCUCCAGCCAUUUGGAAUAGGCGUCCACCACUACCAUAAAGGUCCAGCCGUGAAAGGGGCCGGCAAGAUUGAUGUGCACCCUCAACCACCCUCCCUUAGCUGCCGGUGGCGCAAGCCUCAAUUCUUGGCACGCUUGACAGGCAGAAACCCAGGAAGUGAUGGCAUCAUCCAUGUUAGGCCACCAGAUGUAACACUGAGCCAAUGCCUUCAUUUUGACAAUUCCCAGGUGGCCAAUGUGCAGAGCCUCAAGGACACGUUGACGGAGUCUUUGGGGAAUCACGACGUGGUCUCCCCACAGCAGACAGCCGCAAUGAGCUGAGAGUUCGUGUUGUCUGGUUGCGAAGGGCUGGAACUUUGAUGCAAAAUGCCCUUGUGGCCACCCCCUCCACACCCAGUUGAGCACAUGGCUGAUGGUGUGAACUUGGGCAGAUGUGGAGGCCACAGUGGCAGCUGAUACAGGCGCUGCAGGAAGAUACUCAAUCAGGAGGAGCGAUGAAGCAGGAGCUGUGUCUUCCACAAACACUGGAAGAGGGCAACGGCUGAGGGCGUCGGCAUGGCCCAUCAAUUUCCCUGGGUGAUGGACAAGCUGGUAGUGGUAGGCAGCCAGGAAAACAGUCCAUCGCAGCAUGCGCGGCGAGAGGACCGGUGGAGUUGGUCCACCGGCGAGGAGGCCCAGGAGCGGCUUGUGGUCAGUGAUGAGGUCGAAAUUCCUACCAUAGAGGUAUUCAUGGAACCUCUUCACUCCAGCCACAAGUGCCAGUGCCUCCUUGUCAAGCUGGCUGUAAUUCCGUUCCGUUGGAGAUAGCAUCCUGGAAAAGUAGGCGAGCGGUGCUUCUCUUCCAUCUGGAAAACGGUGACUAAGGACAGCGCCAAUGCCAAAAGGUGAGGCGUCGCAGGCAAGGACCAGCGGCCUGGCUUCACUGUACUGUACCAGCACACUGUCUGAUGAAAGGAGAGCCUUGACCGCGUUGAAGGCCACCGUCUCCUGAUGACCCCAGGACCAAGGUGUCUUCGUGCUGAGGUGUCGGUGAAGAGGCUCAGCUACCGUCGCUUUGUGGGGAGGAACAUGUUAUAAUAGUUCAGCAGUCCCAGGAACGCCUGCAACUCCGUCUUGUUCUUUGGGAUGGGGGCCUGCUGGAUAGCGCGGAUCUUGGAUGUGGUCGGGUGAAGGCCGGAGGCAUCGAUAAGAUAGGCCAGGAACUCCACCUGUGGAAUGGCGAUCUGGCACUUCUCCCUCUUUACCUUGAGCCCGGCCUCCUGGAACCUGGUCAGCAUGGCGUGGAGGCGCUCGAACAGCUGCUGGUGUGAGUCUGCAGACACCAAGACGUCAUCGAAAUACGGCACCAUGCCCGGAAGCCCUUGCAGGAGACGCUCUAUAAUGCUUUGGAAGAUGCCAGGAGCCACACUCACCCCGAACUGCAAAUGGCGGCACACGGACCACCCCUCAUUGGGUGACGAUUAUCUGGGCUUCAGCGGUGGCAUCUUCGACGGGCAGUUGUUGAUAGGCUUGGGCAAGGUCCAGCUUAGCGAAGUCCUUAUCCUCUACCAGGGAAUGCAGCUGGUAGUGGACAACAGGAACCAGGUAAGCGUGCUGCUGAAGUGCCUUGUUGAUCGUGCACUUGUAGUCGGCGCAGAUUCUCACCGACCCAUCCGGCUUGACAGGCAUGACAAUGGGGGUUUCCCACAUGGCGUGGUCAACCGGCUCCAAAACUCCUUGGGUUGGCUUGUCCAAUUGUUCGUCCACAUUAGCCUUGAGAGCAAACGGAACCCGGUGUGGUUUUAGGUUGAUGGGGGCGACUUGUGGAUCCAGGCUAAAGGAGAUGGGCGUACCUGUAUAUUGACCCAAAGUGCUGUCAAAAACCUCGGCAAAGUCUUUGAUCAGACCCUCAGUCUCUGCGUUAGAGAUGCAGUUGAUGCCGGUGACUUCCAGGCCGAGGGCAUCAAACCAGUCUAGCCCUAGCAGGCUUGGCUUCUGACCUUCGACCACCACCAGUCGGAGCAGGCCCGAAAAAAUCUUGAAGGCGAUCCAGAACCGGCCAACGCCUACCACGGGAAUGUCGUUUCCCUGAUAGUCUCUCAGGUGUAUGCGGUGAGAGUCGAGUUGCCUUUUGGACACUCUGGGUACCAGUCUUUUGAUGGUGCUCCAAGACAUGAUGGACAGGGCAGACCCGGUGUUGAUCUCCAUGUCACACUGAGCUCCUUCAAUGAGCUCAGCUUGCGUCGCGCAGGCGAGUCGAUUUGGCCAAUCGUGAUUCCGGAUGGGCAGUGGCAGUUGGUGAGAGCGAAACAUCUUUCCUUGGCGGACUGGAGUGAAGACUUGGACUUGCGAGUCGGUGAAAGGGGGGUGUUGGAUGGAGCCGAUCGGCAAACCUUAGUGAUGUGGCUCCUUCUGGAACAUUUCUGACAGAUGGCAUCUCUGAAUCGACACUUGGCACGGGAAUGGUUGCCUCCACAGCCGGCACAUUCCAAUUGGCCCUUGGACUUGUUUGAACUUCCCACGCUCCAGCUUUGUCUGGUGCACAUCACCGUCUUCACUGGAGGAUGCCUCGUCACUGCUGGCCUCUUCAUGAUGCACUGGAACUGGCUUCCUAGCAAGACGCGGGCUGCUGGCCUUGCGGAUCUCCUGGGCGGAGAGUUCAGCAGCUUCUGAGGCCGCAGCCUCCUCAAUGGACUUCUGCAGCGUGAGGUCUGGCUUGGCGAGGAAACAGAUGUCCCAUACCCCGCAGAUGAUUCAAUCCAUCAGAGCAUCAUCUAAGUCUCAGAACUCGCAGUGCAUUGUGGCCUGUCAGAGGGCGGUGGUGUAGUUGUUAAUUGACUCCCCCUCUGCCUGGUUCCAGUGGUAGAAUGCAUGGCGGGCAGCAAUCUUGGACGGCUUCGGUGCAUAGUGGUUGUGGAGCUUCUCUUGAAUCGUGUCCCACGGCGCUGCCUGGACUGCUACAGGCACAACCAAUGCUAGGCCAUUGCGAAGAAGAAGAAGAAGAAGAAGAAGAAGAAGAAGAAGAAGAAGAGUUUGGAUUUGAUAUCCCGCUUUAUCACUACCUGAAGGAGUCUCAAAGCGGCUAACAUUCUCCUUUCCCUUCCUCCUCCACAACAAACACUCUGUGAGGUGAGUGGGGCUGAGAGACUUCAGAGAAGUGUGACUAGCCCAAGGUCACCCAGAAGCUGCAUGUGGAGGAAUGGAGACGCGAACCCGGUUCCCCAGAUUACGAGACUACCGCUCUUAACCACUACACCACACUGGCUCUCAACACUUUGGAGCCACAAAGACUGAGAAAGAGGCCCUGCUUACGCUUUACAGACCCUCCUGUCAGCUCAUUUGCUUGGAGGUAGCAGUCGAACCAAGCAAGGUAGGAGUCCCAUGAUUCAGAGGCUGGGGCAAACGGCGGUAGAGGCACGAGUGAAGCCAUGGUUCCGAUGCCGACAAGGAGGGCGAUGGAUGGAACACAGUGCUCUAGCCAGAACAGUCAGCUCUGAAUUGGUUCUGCUCCAUGAUUUCACUCAGUGUUUCAGCUCAGUGAUUCAGCUCAGCUCAGAGGGUGGCCGCGUCUCUGAUGUCCAUCAAUCCCACCUUCGUCGCCAGUGUUAAGUUGUGGGUGAACAUAUCAGACAACACAGCGUUUCUUCAAACAGCUCUUGUUUAUUCGUAGGUCAGAACAGAACUGAGCUGAAGGGUUCAGCCAGCCUGCUUAUUUAGAGCUCAACUACAAAGCAACAGUAACAAUUUUCUGUAACUAUCCAAUCACUGAACGUUACUUUCAAUUCCUUAUUUGCAUAUGUGGACCUGAGAGAAAACUAUCUACAGUAUCCCCAGGGUGGCCCAGGGUGAGAACUUCAGUACAUAACAUUUCCACUGUCAGAAAGUUUUUUUAUAUAUUUAGUCGGAAUCUCCUUUCUGAUAACUUGAAGCCAUUGGUUGGAGUCCUUCCCUCCAGAGCAGGAGAAAGCAAGCUUGUUGCCUCUUCUAUGUGACAGCCCUUGAGAUAUUUGAAGAUGGCUAUCCUAUCUCCUCUCAGUCUCCUCUUUUCCAGGCUAAAUAUACCCAGUUCAUUCAACCGUUCCUCAUAAGGCUGGGUGAUAUAUCCAUACUGUGCCUCUUAAUGAUAUGAAUUCCAUACCAGGAUAAAAGUUUCAUACCCCCCCCUGUAAUAUAUGGAGAAUGCACUGCAGGAAGCAGGCAGGAAGCAGCAUUUGAUUGCAAGACAGAAGCCCCUUGUGCCUCUCAGCUUUGUGUUGCAAGAGUCAAGAGCAGCAGUAAAAGCUGCUUCUGCCUGCACAAUCUGCAAGGCACAAGCCCCGUUUUGCUCUGGCUUUUGUUCUGCAGGUUUACGGCACACACCUUGUUAGGCAAAGGAGAGACCCAGCUUCCCUUCAUAACGAUAGAGAUUCUGAUCUGCAAAUGAAGUUUCUCUCCCCCCUGCCCCCCUGAUCCACAGUGCUUUAAGGCACACACCUUGCCUCUUGCUAGGCAGCCCUGUGGAUCUCGACGAAGAAAAAGAAACUUUGUUUGCUUAUUGGAAUCUUCAUUUCUCAGCAGUGCUGUGGGACUGAGAUUCCAAUCAGCAAACAAACUUUCCUCUUUGUGAUAAGAUCAAUGUGACUUGGCUCCUGCUUCUGUUCAGGCAAAGAGGCAACAAUUUACUUUUGCAGUAAAAGGAUUUAUGCAUUUGCAAAGUAAGGUGCAGACGAUGCUGAUGACUGGGCUGCUGUCAGUUCAAACUUCCGGGUUAGCGCCAUCGGCAAUGGCGGAGUUCCUCUGACCGAGAGGAACCCGCUCCGUGAAAAUCGGGUCUUGCCGCCGCGGCGAAGGCGGAGACCCUCUAAAAAUCCCAGGCGGAGGAAGCCUGGGAACGUGGGAUUCGGCUGACACCUACUCGCAGGGAAACCCUUUUUCGGGGAUCCAAAGCGACGUGGGGUGAGGGGCGCAGUGUUUUGAAUCAACCACUACUUUUACGGAGUGAAGCCACACAGCCGUUGCCGGAGAGCGCUGACUUUUUCCUGUGGACAAUUGGACUCUAAACAAGUACCCGUGAGUAGAACGGAAAAUUGGAUUAAGAAACAUUUUAAUUUGGCACUGAAGCAGGAAGGCUCUAAACAGGAAGUCCGCCUCCCAUUUUUUGUAAAUAGAUUGAAGCAAAAACUUUGUAAGCUAAAGUCUGGAAAGUCGUAUAUAAAGGUCUAAAUUGUCAAGCCAUAUGGUUGUCAAGCCUCUGCUUAAAGACCUCCAAAGAAGGAGACUCCACCACACUCCUUGGCAGCAAAUUCCACUGUCGAACAGCUCUUACUGUCAGGAAGUUCUUCCUAAUGUUUAGGUGGAAUCUUCUUUCUUGUAGUUUGGAUCCAUUGCUCCGUGUCCGCUUCUCUGGAGCAGCAGAAAACAACCUUUCUCCCUCCUCUAUGUGACAUCCUUUUAUAUAUUUGAACAUGGCUAUCAUCUCACCCCUUAACCUCCUCUUCUCCAGGCUAAACAUGCCCAGCUCCCUUAGCCGUUCCUCAUAAGGCAUCGUUUCCAGGCCUUUGACCAUUUUGGUUGCCCUCCUCUGGACACGUUCCAGUUUGUCAGUGUCCUUCUUGAACUGUGGUGCCCAGAACUGGACACAGUACUCCAGGUGAGGUCUGACCAGAGCAGAAUACAGUGGCACUAUUACUUCCCUUGAUCUAGAUACUAUACACCUAUUGAUGCAGCCCAGAAUUGCAUUGGCUUUUUUAGCUGCCGUGUCACACUGUUGGCUCAUGUCAAGUUUGUGGUCAACCAAGACUCCUAGAUCCUUUUCACAUGUACUGCUCUCAAGCCAGGUGUCCCCCAUCUUGUAUUUGUGCCUCUCAUUUUUUUUGCCCAAGUGCAACACUUUACAUUUCUCCCUGUUAAAAUUCAUCUUGUUUGUUUUGGCCCAGUUCUCUAAUCUGUCAAGGUCGUUUUGAAGUGUGAUCCUGUCCUCCCAGUUUGGUGUCAUCUGCAAAUUUGAUCAGGAUGCCCUUGAGUCCAUCAUCCAAGUCGUUGAUAAAGAUGUUGAAUAAGACCGGGCCCAAGACAGAACCCUGUGGCACCCCACUAGUCACUCUUCUCCAGGAUGAAGAGGAACCAUUGAUGAGCACCCUUUGGGUUCGGUCACUCAGCCAGUUACAAAUCCACUGAGUGGUAGCAUAGUCAAGACCGCAAAGACUGGGAAACCCAGCCAGAUGGGCGGGGUACAAAUAAUAAAUUAUUAUUAUUAUUAUUAUUAUUAUUAUUAUUAUUAUACCAGCUUCUUUACAAGAAUAUCAUGGGGCACCUUGUCAAAUGCCUUCUGUUGUCAUGUUCUUUAUUAACAUCAACAUUUUCUGAUGAUUAAUCUUAAAACCAUAAGAGUCUCCAUUUCCUCUAGUUUUCCAAAACUAUCAUCAGAUCAUCAGCAAAGGCCCAUAACACAACAGUUUUCAUUUCCCACGUCUUCAUUCAGAAGACAUACAGCCUGGUGAAAAGAACAUUUUUUCCUGGCGCCUAAAGGUGUAUAAUGAAGGCGCCAGACAAACUUCCCUGGGGAAAGCAUUCCACAGACAGGGAGCCACUGCAGAGAAGGCCCCGUUCUUGUGUUGCCCCCUCUGGACCUCUCGAGGAGGAGGCACACGAAGGAGGGCCUCGGAAGAUGAUCUCAGGGUCCAGGUCGGCUCCUAUGGAGAGAGGCAGUCCUUGAGGUAUUGCGGUACCUAUGCUCUUUACCACUGAAUUGGAGCAAAAGUCACUUGGGUUUUCUGCAGAUUGAUGUUUGCUCCAGUUCAGUGGUAAUGAGGUUUCCCCAGGGGAAAGCAGUGGGACCAGCGGAAAACUGAUUGGACCUGUGCUUUUUAGGCACAGGACAAGUGCAAGUGUGGCUGAGCCCUUAGUCCAAGCAUAAAGUGUUUCCAACUGAAUGCAAUAUUUCUUUGUGCCCACAUAAUUGUAAUAAAAACGAUGCAUGAAAAGAAACCAGCAGCCAAACUUUGCUUCCCUGUUCCCUCCACUGCCUUCAGCUAUGCAUGUGAUGCAGAGGGAGGGUUAUUCUUCUAGGCCCUGUCAAUAUAUUGUCCAAAACUGGUUUGAAGUCCAUAUUGUGAUCCUGGUUGCAUAAUUUUUGAGCUAGAAAUAUAUCAUUGUGAAUCAUGGUGGGUGUGUGGGUGGGUGCGCUAUGCAAAAAUCACAAUGUGGGGAAAACCGUAGUUCCAUCCUUAUUUCAGACAUCAAGAUAUAUUGGUACAUUGCAAUGUUUAGCUGGUGAUAUAUCAUGAUGUUUAAAACCAGAUAUCGCCCUGCUCUAGAACCUGGGUUCAACUUUGCUGGGGGGGUUUUAAUCAAAGGGGCUGGGAAAUGAGAGAAGAUUGCAAAAACGAAGAGAAAACAACAAGCCCAAGUAGAUGAUUUAAUAUUAGGAUAAACUAUUUAUUUUGACAUAACAGAGACUCCUGUUAACACGUUUGCUCUUCUUUGUCCUCCCCACCCCUUCAUUUUAGAUUUUGUAAAUAAAAUAAGACUGUUAGUGAGCCUUUAUGGGAGCUUCCUGAGUUAAAAGGACAAGACCUCCUUUCAAGGUCUAUACUUAUAGUGUAUAAUCAUGUCUAAAGCUUAAACAGAUUUCAUUUCUGUAGAUUUAAAUAUGUGCAUAGUCAUGGCUAAGCCUAUUUGGAGCCAGGACUUAGUUGUUUCACUAAAAAAGCAUUUGAAAAAUGAAAUACUAGUGGUGAGAGCAAACAGAUUGACCUUCCUUUUUGGCAUUUAAACUGAAGCAUUUCUGAACGAUAUUCCUGGGAGACUUAGAUUUGACAGCUGAAAGAUUUUUGCAUGCCUGACUUAAAUGUAACUCCAAAUAUUAUUGAUCUUAAAAGGUGAAACUUCAUCCAGGAAAAUAAAAGUAUUUAAGACUAUGAAGCAUAAUCUUCUUCUCCCACUGUGGCUUGAACUUAAAACAUUUAAUGUGAUUAUAGGAAGUGGCGACUGCAGGCUUGUUCAUAUAUAAAACAGUGUCAUUUAAAUUAACAGUGGUGCAGCAAGUAGUCUGAGCUGGGAUGAUUUUCAAGGCUUUUGGGGAAUAGAGCCAUGGAAACAGAUUUAUGGACUAUUAAUUACUGAAAUAAUUAUGUCUCCUCAUAGUGAAUUGAGGUAGUUUAGUGCCUAUCAAUUUGGAAGUGAAAUGGGGUCAUCCCCAAAGUAUGGCUGGUGCUUCUACAUAUUCAUAUGAUGAUUUAGAAGCACACAAGUUUGUGGAUGAAAACAAAAUGAAAUUUAAAAAUAACUGCUUGACAGGAAUAUGUCAGCUUGCAGAAUAUUCAUGGCAAUUGAGUCUACAGUGUAAGAAAAACACUGGGGCCUAACUUGAAUAGUAGCAUGUCUGUCCUCUGGUGGGCAAGGAUUUUGCGCUGUGCUGUGGAAUCAGCCCCUCCCUUUGGGGGUCCAGUUCAGUUCAGUCCGAGAGGCCAACUGUCUUUUUUGCCUCAUGAGGUGCUUUUAGUUUCUCUCAGACAGCAUGUAAUUGUGUUACAGUUUUCUUUAUUAAAGCUUUGUUUGACAUACACAUGAGCUGCUUACUUUGCUGAAAGAAAAGAAACUCUGCUGAAGAAGGGUGGGGGAGUGAGGGGAUAUUCCCACUCUGACGGGAGGACUAGUUUCAUUCAUUGCCCCCACCCUCCACUGUUAAGUUGUGGGUGAACAUAUCAGACGACACAGUGAUUCUUCAAACAGCUUUUGUUUAUUCACAGGCCAGAACAGAACUGAACUGAAGGGUUCAGCCAGCCUGCUUAUAUAGAGCUCCACUAGAAUGCAACAGUAACCAUUUUCUGUAACUAUCCAAUCACUGAACGUCACUUUCGAUCCCUUAUUUGCAUAUGUGGACCUGAGAGAAAACUAUCUACAGUAUCCCCAGGGUGGCCCAGGGUGAGAACUUCAGUACAUAACAUCCACAACAUAGAGAGGGGGGUGGUGGAAGAAUCUUUAAGAAGGCUCAAUGAAUAUGUCAAUCAUUACCAUUAUCAUGUUUCCUAAUUUCAGUUCAGCCACAUACAAGAAGGAGGUAUUGCCUUGGGGUAAUCCUAAGGUUUUCAGAAUUUUAGAGAAGUUUAUUUAGAAAGAUAAAAGGGGACAGGAACCCAGAGCAGCCUGAGGAGACCUGAAGCUCCGGGGAGACGGAAGACUGCUGUAUGUCAGAGAGUGUAGAAGCGUAAGGCUGGAGGGGAGACAAAAUGGCAUGUGGUAUCCUGAAGGGGAGCACGCCACACGCUAACGUUUUGUUUCAGGUUGCUGGGAACAAUUUGAGAAACAGGAUGCUUGUGUGUUCAUUGUGAAAGGGGGGGGGGCGGUCCUGUUUCACCUCCUGAGGUGAAAUGGGAAGGCGCCUGCCCCGCCUGCUGCCGAAGCCUUGCUGGAGAACUUUCUGGAAGCUGCUGCUGCUCCUCUCCCCUCUGGCGGUGGAGGACCGGCUCCUCUCUCUCCCGAGGAGAGCCACCCUGCCGGGGGAUUGUGCUGCCCCGGAUUGGGCCUCAGUCCCCCUCAUGGGGACACCAGCCCUGAUGGCAAACGGAAGGAAAAUGGAGGGCAGAGGAAGAAAAGGACCCUUAUACUUGGGUGUUGCCAGGCACUUUCAGCUGAGGAAAAACCUCUGGCUCCUGUGGUUGGGGUUUAAUCUGAGCUGAGGUGCCAACAGAAUUUUCUGGCGUAUACUGCAUGUAGAUUGGACCUUCCAUCCACCCACAAUUUGUUUUUAGUCCACUUUUAAUUUUUAAUUUAUAAAACUAGAUAUAUACCAAAUAUGGGGGGAUAGCACAUCCAAAUCGGAUCAUUUAUCAUGAAAACACAAUAAAUACAACUAUCUAAAAUAAUCCAAAUUAACAAAGCAGCAUUGCCACUUAACAAAGGCCAGCUAAAACAAUUACACGACUAAUCAAACAACUAAACUUAAUUAUAUUUUGUAACAUAGCUCUGUAAAAAAGCCUUUAGGAAAAGGAAGUUUGAAAAACAUGAGUUUUUAAAACCUGUUUAAAAAUUCAUAGUGUACAGGACGUGCACAUCUCCAAUGGGAAAAAGUUCCAUAAUAUUCUGUUCAUGUCCAUUUUAAAACUAAAGUGAGUCUUCUCUAACAUGUAACAUGACAAUCUGUGCCAAAUCUGGAAAGCAGAAAAGUGUGCAGGGCAGACAACUCAAGAAAGACAUAGUGUGCAUUGAAUCAUCAUGGGAUUAAGCAUGUAAAAGAAAACAUUUCAUUUUAGAAAUAGUUCUUAAGCUAUGGGAGCUGCAUUUAUUAUUAUUAUUUUAUUUAAGAAAGGCUGAGUAAAAGUUCAGAGAGAUUGUACCAAACAGCCCUCUCGUUCCCUCCACCAUCCGGAAUGCAAGCAGAGAAAUGCUAUUAUCCUUAUAACCUACUUGUAAACUUACAAGACACGUUUUGUUUAUUACAAUUUUAUCCCGCCAAUUUCCGAAGGAAUCCAGGGCAGUGUCAAUCCCACCAUUGUCCUCGUCACAACAACCUUCAGAGGUGAGUUAGGCUUAUUUUGGAAACCAGAUGGGCACCCAAAAGAUAGAAGGCCAGGGCCAGUCUAAAAUAUGUUGCUAAAAUGAAGCCCAACUGAUACCAACACAUCCUUGUUUCAAAAAGUCUUGCUGCCCCAUUCAUACAGCAAUUCCUGCCUCCAUCUCCUGCCCCCCCUUCCCGUGCCUCCUUACAUGGGUCACUUCACCCUACAGGAUGGCAGGGCUAACAUGGUGUAGUUUCAGCCUCAGAGAACUACAGUUCCCAGCACCCUUAAUAAACUACAGUUAAGAAGAUUCUCUGGAGGAAGCCAUCUGCUUUAAAUGCAUGUUGAAUGUGCUUUAAAAGUAUGGUGUGGAUCUGCUGGAAAGAGUAAGAAGUUUUUUUAAAUAAAUAAAUAAAUAUAUAAAUUCUAUCGAGUGUCAGAAUAAACACAAAAAGAAAUAGAAUUAAACCAGAACUGAAAUACAUCAGCUCUCUCCGCUGCCCCAGCCGGUAUCCCUCUUUCCACACUUUCCCCAGAGAGCUUAAUGUCAUAGGAAGAAAUGUUUUAAGCACAGUUGAGGUUUGAACUUGGGGACUUACAGUGGUACCUCGGGUUACAGACACUUCAGGUUACAUACGCUUCAGGUUACAGACUCUGCUAACCCAGAAACAGUACCUCGGGUUAAGAACUUUGCUUCAGGAUGAGAACAAAAAUUGUGCUCUGGAGCCGCGGCGGGAGGCCCCAUUAGCUAAAGUGGUGCUUCAGGUUAAGAACAGUUUCAGGUUAAGUACGGACCUCCGGAACGAAUUAAGUACUUAACCCGAGGUACCUAUGUAUAUGCUUAAUGUAACACCCAUCUUGGUUAGUGAUGCUGAAAACAUUUAGCAAGUGAAUUAGUGUGUUCCUCUCAGCUUUAUCAUGUUAGACGUUCACUCAGUUUUCAUCCGUUAGGAAGAAGUUACCUUAAACUGCUUAAAUCUUAAACCUAUUUUUAGGUUGGAACUUAUCUCCAAACGUUUUAUCAUUCACAAUAUGUAUAUAAACUUGCAGUUAGGAAGACGUGCAGGUUACACUAUUAUAGUUGUAAGUGACCUGCUGGUUGCUUGUUUUGUGAAGUAUUAAAUUGAAACAGAAAAGCAGAUGCACAACUGACCCAGUGGCUUUUUGUUUAACCUCUAAAAGGAACUUGAAGCUUGUUUACAACAUAGCAGCAUGUGAUUAUUCACUAAUGCAAACAAGAAUAAGGUUAGGCCUGGUUAUUGAUGAUGGCGGACAGCACUCUACUAAUGUGAGCCCAUUGAUUUUAUCUUUUUAUUUUCUCUUACUCCUUUUAAAGACUAUUUUAAUGAAUAUUGAGCUCAGAUAAUUUUAAGCACCUCACCCCAUUCCAUCCCACGCUCCGCUUUCCUGACUCUUCUUGGAGCUUUAAAGCCGCAUUGACUAUCUUAUCAUACUGCGAAGAGCUUACAGGAAGAUUCAUGGGCUGUUCCCACCACAAGUCUGGAGGCACAGACGGAGCAUAACUUAGUGUUAUGCCAAUAACCUUUGGCACACUCCUCCUCCUUGAAUAGGAUACUUUCAAGGAAAAUACUCCCUCGACUCUUUGAAAAAUUUAGGGAAGAUAAAAGAGCGAGGCAAAGGGAGAGAUGACUCAGCAAUUAGACAGCCCUGCUGAUGCGAGGAGGGGGGUUGGCAAACGCUGCAGAGAAUCGGAGGACUCAGAGGAAAUGGCAUGUUUGCCCCUUACCAAGCAAACCAAAAUCAGCGAAUUCUUCCAUGGAAAAACAAAGGACACUUUUAAUAUUCCGACCUCGAACAGUUUCUCGCCAUUAGCAGAGAUAAUAGAUAAGGAAAUUACACCGAAGGAACCACCCACUAAACAACCCAUUAACUCCUUAAACAACUCCACCACGAGACCAAAAGGCCCCAAAAAGGCUCCAACUAUGCCCAUUCAGGCGGAAGACUGCAUCGGAGAACAAGCAAACUAUCUCUCUGAAUUACUGCUUGAACACUCUACCACGUUAGACCUAGUGGCUAAAACCGUGGACUGUAUCUUUAAAUAUAUAAGAGACAUCAAAGGCUCCUUAGAGAAUAUUACAUCCUUUGUAUCCCCAAAAGUGAAUGUCAGCCCUGUAGACGUUUCACCGGAGGAUAGGGCUGAACCAACGCCCAGAGUACCUGCCCUAUUACGUUUAACCCCGCAGACUGGCUGCAAAUCUGAAAAUGAACAAUCUAUGGAAGAUUCACACACCAUAUCUUCCUAUAAUCUUUCGUUACAAGCCACUAGACUUUGUUUAAUUAUCCUUCCCUUCAAAGGUCAGGUUGUUAACUGGUCGUCUACACAUGUCGCAAGAAGGCAUUUGGCUGAGCUUCUGGGCGUAGAUCCUCUUUCCAUCGAUCUGAAAUCCGCUGUCCACAUUUACAGCAAGCCACACAUGCAGAGGAUACUGCUCACCUUUGAUUCUAAAAAGCUUCCAACUUAUAUGAUGUCCUUACGAAGCUACCUGACUAAUUAUAGAAUUUUUAUCACAAGAGUUUUUAUCAACACUAAGAUUUGCCCUCUUAUUCCCUACUCUCCAGUUAAAAGGAAAGCAAUUAAAAAUGAGGGCAUUCCAUCUACUACGAGCUCUACCUCUCCACCCUCAGACUUAAUUAGUUGGACAGAGACCCCCAUGCCCCUCCUAUCAAAGGCUACUCAUCUUGAGAAUUCGAUGGAGCAGGAAUUACUUGUCUCCUUCUCCCAUCUGCCAAAAGCCGAACAAACAGAGAUAACGGACAGACUAGAUGAGUUAUUACUCUAUCUCCGCAACUUUGAAGAUCUAGCGCCCAUAAAAGAGGCAAAUAUUCCACCUAACUUGGAGCGAAAAAUGGGUCAUGAAUCUCCUCAGGUCACGGCAGAACACACACCUCUACUCUGCCCAUCUGAAAUCCACGCCGAAAUCUCUGUGGCGCCCUAAUCACAUUACCGGAGACUCAACCAUCCAAUGGUUGCAUCUUCCACGACCCGGGAAAACCCUAGAUGCUAUUGAAGAGACAAAAUGACUCUCACCCCUACUACUAUCCUGGAACGUUGCUGGAUGGCAAUCGAAAACAAGGGACAAAGACGUUUUAACCUACGUAUCACAGUUCAAGAUCAUCCUGCUCCAAGAAACCUGGAUGCAAAAUCCUUUCGAACUACACAAUUACUUUGCUUUCCAUUCCCCUGCCUCAAUCGGCCCAAAAGGCGGAAGACCGGCGGGAGGUUUGAGCACCUUCGUAUCGACAGAUCUAGGAGCCUCCCUAUCCAAUUGAAAAUCGAUAAAAAUGGAUUUUGGCCGUCAAAAUAUUCUCCACCCAUUUUAAGAUCAUAUGCAUCAAUGUUUAUAUUCACCCACUUAUGAAACAAACUGAUCUUAAAAACAUCUGGAACGAACUGGAAGACUGCAUUCUCCUUGUCUCAAAUAAGUUUCCCUCUGCCUCCUUAAUUAUUGGUGGGGAUUUUAAUGCAAGGCUAGGCCACUCAGACGAACAGUUAAUCAAGGAAAGUGGAAUGGGUCCCCUAAAUGCUAAUGAUGAAUAUUGGCCCCUAUUCAGGCGUCACUCACUUGACCCAGUCACCAAUUUUGCUGGUACAUGUCUUUUUUUUAAUGGCACUUAGAUUAAACCUUGUUAUUUUAAACGGCCUCUCCUCGGGGGACUGCCCUGGCCAAUUUACUUACUGGUCAGGCCUAAGGCAUUCUGUUAUUGACUACAUCCUUGUCUCCCAAGAACUUUUCGAUGAAUAUAUUGAAUUUACUGUAGAUAUAAGAACCGAAAGUGACCAUUUACCCCUAAAUCUUAAAAGGACUGAAUUUUGGGAACCCUCUAGAUGUGGGCUUGCCCCGCAGACUCCUGAUCCUAGCGCUUUACAACAAAUAGGUAGAUCCAGAAUUAAAUGGUCCCCUUAUGUUAAUAACCAUUUUGGUAUUUGGACACAAUCAAUGGAAGGUCAACUCCUCUGGGCUGAUCUGACUUCCAACGACACUGAAGAGACCUCCCCAAUUGACCAUUAUAACACAUUAAUCCGAAAACUCCAACCGUUAUUGUCAAGACCCAGAAGAUCUAACCAAAAUGACUCCCUACCAACAAAAAUGGUUUGACCACGAAUGCACUCAGGCAAAACUUAUACUCAGGGAAUGCUUUAAGGUCUUCCAGCAAAAUCCUAACCCUAUCACUAAAUUGGAGUUACAACUUAAAAAAAAGAACUACAAAGAGUUAUUAAAAACCAAAAAAAGAACCGCAGACUCUCUCAUCUGGCAGGCCCUCAUAAAAGCGUCAAUAGAAAAAGACAAUUCUAAUUUCUGGAAAAUUAUCUCCAGUCAAACCAAAGCUCCUAAUGAGGGCACAAUAAUCCCUGCAAAUUCAUGGGAAGAGCACUAUAAAGUGAUGUUUAGGGAACAUCGUCCUUCUGCGCCGCUUAACAUCCCCUUAGAUAAUGAUACACCAUGGCCCCCAACAUCUGAAACUGAAAUCGCUUCGCUAAUUCUACAAAUGAAAUCUGGCAAAGCCCCAGGAAGUGAUUUCAUUGUCGCUGAACUUUUGAAAGCGCAAAUAAACUGGUGGGCCCCGGUCCUUGCAAAUCUAUUUUCAUAUAUAGACAAGACAACUGAAAUCCCUAAAGAUUGGGGACUAGCUAUAAUUGUUCCCAUAUUUAAAAAGGGCAACCCCUCUGAUCCAUCUAAUUAUAGACCAAUUAGUCUCCUGAAUGUGAUCUGUAAACUUUAUACAAAACAUCUAUGCCUAAAAUUAUGGGAAUGGUUAGAUCAUAACAACUUGCUAGAAAUUGAACAAGCAGGGUUUACAUCCGGACGUUCCACCAUUGAUCACUGCUUAGUGUUAGAUUACUUUGUCUAUAAGUAUGCGAAAUAUUGGAAAAGUCAUUAUAUGCGGCCUUUGUGGACCUAAAGGCAGCAUUUGAUUCUGUAUCUAGGAGCAGGCUCUGGGCCAAAUUGGCCAAUAUGGGUAUUAACAGAAGGUUAUUACUUCUGAUGAUUAAGCUUCAUGAGAACAAUACCCUCCAGAUAAGAUUUGCACAGGACGGCAGACUCUCUAGAGAAAUCCCAGUCCAAAGAGGAGUUAGACAAGGAUGCCUAUUAGCCCCAUUCCUAUUUAACAUCUAUGUUAACUCCCUGGUCACAUGCUGCCGUGAAAUUGAAACCCACCCCCCUGUGUUCUCUAAUGGCAGAAAAGUACCAAUUUUAAUGUAUGCGGAUGACGCUGUUCUUCUCUCUCAAACCAAAGUGGGUCUGAAACGUGCCUUAGGAAAGUUUAGUGACCAAUGUAACACUGAACUGCUAACAAUUAACUUUGCCAAAACCAAAAUUGUACAUUUUAACCGCUCCUUCAGGAAGGAUAAUUGGAGCGUAAAGGGAAACGCCAUUGAACAGACUAAGACCUUCCAAUAUUUAGGCAUUACUUUCUCUUAUAAUGCCAAAUUCUCAGCACACUUGACCACAUCAGCUAUAUCAGCAGAAAGAAGUGCAAAUGCUAUCCUUAGAUUAUUCAGAAGGAAAGGAGCUGGCUUCCUCCCGAUGGCCCUAACAGUCUUUCAGGCAAAAUCUUUAGCCCAACUUCUAUAUGGCUCUCAAAUUAGCCCCUCUGCCAACCUUAAGACCCUUGAAACAGUACAAUCUAAAUUCUUAAGAUCAUUAUUUGCUACCCCUAAGUGUACACCUAAUGCAGUCUUAAGGCAAGAGGCAGGAUUGCCCAGAGUGGAAUUAAAAGUCUGGGAACAAGCAAUAUCCCUCUGGCUGAAAAUCCAUUACAAUCCUAAGGGUCUAUUACCUUGCUUCCUGGCCGCAGUUCCCUAUCCUCCUUGGCUUAUGCAAAUAACUAACAAGAUCAAACAAAUUGGCCUAAACCCUGAAAAUAUUUUUAUUGGAACUCUGAACAAGGCAAAAGCUACUAUUACUCGGAGACUUUAUGAUAUCGAAUUACAACAAGAAGGCGCCCUACUCCCAGAGACGUAUAGAUGUUUAAAAGCUUGGCCUAAUUUUACAGCUGCCCCUUACUUAACCAACAUCACUAGCGAAGCCUAUAGAUGGGCUUUCUCUAGAGCCCGCUUUGAGACAAUGCCCUCAGCAGUGCUGUACGGCAAAUUCACGCGGGUUCCAAUGCAUGCGCGUCUCUGCCCUUGUAUGUCUAAUAAGGUAGAAUCUGUCACACACAUUCUUCUAUCUUGCGAAUUCUAUAGUGAAGAACAAGCUCAACUUAUUUUACCGCUUCUAUCAAAAUUUAUACCCCUUCAAUAUUAUUUGGAAUCCUCCCCUGAAAUUCUUCGAAAAUACCUCCUGGAAGAUUCCUCAAGCUCAGUAUCAUAUGAGGUGGCUAAAUUUUGCACUUUAGUAAUUAAGAAACGUAAAUCUCUUCUGUUGAAUGGCACACUGCGAAGUUCCCUUGUGUAACCUUUUUUCUUUUCUGAAGUUGUUGCUGAUUUCUUGUUGUCUGAUCUUGGGAUGUUUAGUGUCACUGGCUUUGGCCGCAAUAAACUUGAACUUGCCUGGUUAUUCUGGUUAUUGAGUAGCUUACUUUAGCUGGAACUCUGUGCAUGAGCCAGAACUACAUAAGUGAUUGGGCUUCACUUUGAGAGCAUAAUUACAGUAAACAGGGAAAGCACUUAUGGAGGUGUGUCAGUCUCAAGCAAUAGGAUGUGAUUGCCUAAUUGAUUAUCCAAAACCUGGUGUCAUGUCUAAUCCAAGCAAUACCUCUAUUUGGUCAUGCAAAUGAGAGGGAGCCAACCAGCAAGUAUAUCAAAGUGCCCUUUUUCCCUUCCCUAAGAGGUCCAAGCCCAUCCUCCUUUCAGGGCAUUUCAGCCCCCUUUCAUUUGGUACCUAUGAGGGGGAGUCACUGAGGGGUGUGGGGGGGUUGACCGGGGCAGAACCACAACCCCUAAUAAGCACAUGCACAUGCAGCCACACACAUAAGCACAUAUAGGAAUGGGGCCACGUAAUAGAAUGCUGCAGUAUGCAUCUUUGGUUCAGGAUUUCAGCCACUUCAAACCAUUCCAUUCUCUUCCCCAUACCCUCCAACAUUUCUCCAAUGAAAACAGAGAUGUCCCAUUCCACAAUAAGAAUUUUACUAUUUAGACCCCACUCAGGGCAGCUUCCAACAUACGGUAUAUAAAAAAAAUAAUAAAACAUUAAACAUUUAAAAAAACCCUCCCCAAUACAGGAUUACUUUCAGACAGCUCAGGGGUUGGAUAACUCCAUAAAGGUAAAGGGACCCCUGACUCUUAGGUCCAGUCGUGGACAACUUGGGUUACGCGCUCAUCUUGCUCUACAGGCCGAGGGAGCCGGCAUUUGUCCACAGACAGCUUCUGGGUCAUGUGGCCAGCAUGACUAAGUCGCUUCUGGCGAACCAGAGCAGCGCAUGGAAACGCCGUUUACCUUCCCGCCGGAGUGGUACCGAUUUAUCUACUUGCACUUUGAUGUGCUUUCGAACUGCUAGGUUGGCAAGAGCAGGGACCGAGCAACGGGAGCUCACCCUGUCAUGGGGAUUCAAACCGCCGACCUUCUGAUCGGCAGGCCCUAGGCUCUGUGGUUUAGACCCAUACCCUACAGCGUUUCUCCAAUGAAAAUAGGGACAUCAUAAGGAAAAGUGGGACAUUCUGGGAUGAAAUCAGAAACCAGGAUGGCUUUUCUAAACCAGGGGCAUCCUUGGAAAUAGGGACACUUUAUUCAGUGCCUAGUUAACAUGUGCAGUGCGGUGAGGUGCACACUAGUGGCCAUUCAUUCGCAUAUUGGAUUUUUGCAAUUGAUAUUUGUGGGCAGCUCUCACUGCUGUCCCAGGGGACAUUUAAAAAUGGUUUCUGAGUUUGAACCAGGAAAUAAUCAGACAAUAAGAUGAUCUUUUUAAUAUCUCUGCAUCUUUUCCUCAAUCAUUUUCCCCCUUAUAUUCUGUUUUGUUCCCUCUCCCAUCUGGUUAUUUCCCUCUUAACCAUCAAUCAGCAUUCAGUGGACACUGGACAUUUUCAGUCCCCUCCACUGUUUUAAGGGUUUUCUUGCCUAAAUUAUUUUUUGUGCUCUGUUGGCUAGGCAAGUGGCAAUAUUCAUAAAACUGAAUUACAGUUUAGUUUAGUUUUCUGUGUAUGUGGUCUUUAUGUGUAUAAAUAACAUUUAUUUAUAAUAUAGAAUACAUUCUAACUCUACAAUUCUAUGAUUCUAUGUGCAUUGUGGGGACGCGGGUGGCGCUGUGGGUAAAACCUCAGUGCCUAGGACUUGCCGAUCGUAUGGUUGGUGGUUCGAAUCCCCGCGGCAGGGUGAGCUCCCGUCUUUUGGUCCCAGCUCCUGCCCACCUAGCAGUUCGAAAGCACCCCUAAGUGCAAGUAGAUAAAUAGGUACCGCUUUAUAGCGGGAAGGUAAAUGGUGUUUCUGUGUGCUGCACUGGUGCUGGCUCGCCAGAGCAGCUUCGUCACACUGGCCACGUGACCCGGAAGUGUCUUCGGACAGCGCUGGCUCCCGGCCUCUUAAGUGAGAUGAGCGCACAACCCUAGAGUCGGACACGACUGGCCCGUACGGGCAGGGGUACCUUUACCUUUACCUAUGUGCAUUGUACAUGAUAUCUGAAAUAUGACAAACUCUUCUAAACUUUAUUCCUGUUGAAUUUAUACAGGUUUAAAAACUCGAAGGAAAGCAAGAAAUCAAAGUUUUUGCUGUGCCUUGAAGAAGAUCCUUAUAGAUUUGAGGUGCAUUGUAAAGGAGUAUCAGUUCAUUCUUGGUCAGUCUGGCUCUUUUGCCAUGUGAAAAUCAUGGACCUGAGCUUGGUGUGGCCUAGAAUUUACUCAAAUCUGUUGUGUGUGUGUGUGAGAGAGAGAGAGAGAGAGAGAGAGAGAGGGAGCACAAACCAGCUGUGAUCCUCAGAUUAAAACCAACUGACCUUUUUUGCUUGACCUUAAUUUAUAAUUGGACAGCUGGUUAUACUAAUGACAGAUUGUCUUUGUGCUGCUGAUAGUCUAUUUGAAGCUGUUGUUAUAAAAUAUAUUUGCCUAUGCAAAGUCUCACGUUAAAGCAGUUAAUGCUAUCUGCUUAAAAUUUCUGUCCAUAGGAGUUGUUCAGUGAGAUCCAGAACACUUUUCUCAAAAUACAUGUACUAUCUCUCUUUCUCUCAAAUUGUUGGGAAAACAUGAUUCCUGUCUCCCUCCCCAAAUGAUUUUUUACAGUUGUUGUGUUGUGAGCCAAAAAUGGCUUAUCUUCUGAGUUUACACCAAUAAAACCAUAGUUGCAUUUUUGACUGUUCCCAAAUUGCCACCAUAGUUAUGGGCUAGUGCUCAUAACUAUCCACCCUCAAGGUGAAGGAAGAAAGGCCUUUUCAAGUAGAGAUAGGGAACCUGUAGCUCUCCAGAUGUUCAACUACAACCCUCAUUGCCCCAGCCAUUGGCCAUGCUUCCUUGGGCUGAUGGGAGUUGGAAUCCAACAACAUCAGCAGGGCCACAGGUUUCCCAUUCUUGUACUGAGGUGUAGUGGAAGUGUUCUGAACACACUCACUGCAUUUUGAGGCCUAAACUACAGAUUACAUUAAACACACAGUUUGUGGUGUGAUUCCUUUACUUUUCAAAUCUUUAAAUAGCAGUUGUAAGUUACCUGGCCUCAUUGGGCCCGCAGUGUGGGUAUUGAGCGUGAUGGGAAUUCUUUAUCUCUACACCAUGAUUCCUACAAACACUGCUGUACUGUGCUGUGAAAAAAAGGACUAAAGGGCAGGUAACAAACAUCAUAGCAAAUAAAUACAAUAUUUAUGUUGGGAUGGAAGCUUAUCUCCCAAUGAAAAUAGAAGACUUUUCAUUAGUUUUUGGUAAAGGUGUUGUCAAUGUGUGUGUAUUAUAUAUACACUUUCUUAAUUACAGUUCUGAUCAGACCCGCCUGCAGCUCUUAUUUAAAGUUGAAUAAUAGUAAUUCCACAAUACCAAACUAUGAAUUUAGUGCAAUAUGUAUUUUAGCUAUUUGUAUUCAAGGCACUAUAGAAGUAUAAGCUACUUCCACCUCACUUAGAAUGCGGGUUUGCUUUUUACCCAGUUAGCAACUUAAAAUAAACCAUCCCACCUGGAGAGGUUUAGCAGUAUCAGAAUAUGACCAUGAACUAAUGGCUAAAACAUGCUAUUAGCAUCUUUUUAAAUCAAGACCAAGUUUGAGGCAGUAUAAGCUUUCUUGAUUUCUCACUAAUUUUCCCCCCAAAUGUACCACUUACUAAUGCAAACACAACAUUUUGAGUUGAAUGGAAUUCAAACUGCAAGCUUAAAAGGUGGUCAUAUGUUAAUGGGAUAAUCAUAUAUUUGUUUCUAUGCUUCCUUAUCCUUGGUAGCAGACAUAUUUUAUAGUUAGAGUUUCUGCCAAAGUAGACACCAUUUUAAUCAUGGUAAGAAUAUCCUCAAAGCUCAACACUGGGAUAUGGGAAAAGUGUAAGUAACAAUAUUUGAAGUAUGGGUUUGAAGUAAACUAUGGCUUUUUUGUCACUGAAUGCAGAUUCCUUUUUUUUUCUUCCAUCAGAUUUCUAUUGGUGCUGGUUUGUUUAAUCUUUAGUGUUCUGUCCACUAUUGAAUACUAUGCGGAAUUUGCCACUGGGACUCUUUUUUGGAUGGUAAGUGAUUUAACUUAAAAUAUUCUGUGAAAUAUCUGUAUGUAUACCUGUUAGAAACUUGUUAUAAAAAGCUGAACAAGCCAAAAUUAUCAAUCUCUAUUUUACUUACUUACUUACUUACUUACUUACUAUUUACUUACUAAGAGCACAGCCCUAACCAUGUGCACACACUCCCUGAAAACCUCCUUCCUCAAACUCCAGCUCUCCACAGGCCUCAAGGGUUGUUGCAAGGGAUCUUGGAAUUUUACUUGUAAAGACUCGUGGGAUUGUUAGGCCCUGUUUUUGCACCUUUCUUGCCUGUAUAUUUUACACCCAAUUACCUGCAGGAAGUAAGCCAUAUUGAAAUCAGAGAGACUUACUCCUGCAUAGACAUGUAUAAUUCUGCACUUUAAGGCUGCAGUCCUUUUAGGAUUAAGACACUUUGAACUCAAUAAUUUCUGGAUAAACAACAGUGGGAUGUGGUUUCAUGGUUUAUUCAUGGAACAUAGCUGGCUUUUGACUUGUAUGUUUCUAAUAGAGCUGGAAUGGCCAGCUGGUGGUCCAUGUGUCAGAACCAACCCUUUUAAUCAAGGUAUAGUAAGUGAUAUGAUCAUAGAAUUGUAGAGUUGGAAGGGACCCAUAGGGUCAUCUAGUCCAAACCUCUACAAUACAGGAAUUAAACUAAACCACAUCUAACUGAUCAUUCUCUCAGUUUCAGGAAAAGGAAACAUGAUUCCAAAUGCUAAGUGCAUAUGUAUUGCAGUUCUUUUUUAUAUAUUUAUAUAAAUAUAAUAAAUGUACUACAUAUAUGUACUGGAUGUAUGUACUUUGCUAAAUUUGGGCAUUUUCAUUGGGUGGGUGAGGCCCCCUGGACCAGUGUCAGCAAGAGAGUAGCUUCUCAGAAUACAGAAAACUAUUAGUUCCUUUAAUGGUAUUUAAACUGAAUUAAAAGAGACUAAUGCAGCAUUUUCAAAAACUAGGGGCAGCCUGAGGCCACAUCUCAGACACAGCACAGGUGUGUCACUUCGUUCAAUUGGCAAUAUCCUGUCUGGCCAUGAAAGUUUAAGGGAAAGUUGACCCUUUCAGAUAACUAAAUUCUGUGGGUUUCAGCUUGAAGAUAUCACAAGCUUCUAUUUCUUGAAGCAUUUAUUUACUGGCGUCACCAAAUGUUCUAAAGCCUGAGUGUUGGGUUGAAAUCACGACAGACGAGUGGUAGGUGUCAAAGGAGAGGCGUCUGCCGGGGCAAGCCCCGGGAACUCUCUUUUAUUGAAUAUUACAAACAUUGCCACAGGUGUACUUGUGGCUGAUUGGUUGAUACAAACACAAAGCAUCUUGUUGCUGAUUGGUUAACAUAGGUACAAGGCGGGAAUUACAUAUAACAUCAAUCACUGAUAGAUUAAAGACUGGGAACGGAGCUGGAACUAGACGGGCAUGAAACCUCCUAAUUAAAUUAUAACUAAAGAUUGAUAUUGAGAGAACAUAACAUGAAGGAAUACAACAAUCACGUUCCGUAGAUGUGGUCAGCAAUGCAUUAAGAACAGGUCAGGAUACACUGUUUCAUGAACUCAAUGGGAACUGUUCAGAACAUUCUCAGACUCUUGUGCAGAAGCAGAGAAAAGGUUAUGAGCGAGACUUCCCAGAAUGCAAGAGUUAUGUGCAGUAAGAGAACUGCAGAAAGAGAACUUCGCAGUGAGAGAACUGCAGAAAGAAAACUUCCCUUCAUCUCCCCCUUUCUUUUCUUGUUUGUGAGGCGUUCUAGGUAGAUAAGGCAAAAAUACUUCGGGAUUAGUGGUGUGCCAGCGAAUGCCCGAAAUAAGCUUGCCAGGGUCGAUGGGACAAAAAUACUUCAGGAUACGUGGUUUGCCAGCGCAUGCCCAAAAUAAAUCCGCCCACAUCUCCCCUAAGGUUUACUGUUGGUGUUGCCAUUUCGCAAAGUAAGCAGCAAGGAGUUUACUGGGUGGUUGAGGGGGAGAGAGAAGCCGAGAGAAAAGACUCAUGAGGCUAGGAACGCAUUGAAGGAAACAGCAUAGCAAAAUAAGAAUACAAAUUAUGAAAAUAGCAUAUUGAAAGAGACUACGAAGCCAAGUAAAGUUAGGCAACCAAGCAGUAAGCCACUGGGUGAAAGAAUCCCAGAGGCCAGAGAAUCCAACGUCCUGUUUAAUAUGAUGUGUAAGAUUUUGCAAAUGAGAGAUUUGGCUUUGAAUGGCUCUAGAAUUGUCAGUAAUAUUGAAACAACACAUGUCAUUCACUUGUUCACAGCCAUAAUGAUGAAGCAUCAGCAAAUAGUGAUAGCAGCACGAUUUCGUAAAAGUCCAUUAUAUAGUUCACUCUGUUCUUUAUUCAAAGGGUGAAGGGCUUGAGGAGUAUAAUUCAGAGUUUUUGCUGCAUAACAAGCUAAAGAAGUAAUGUUCAUACGAUUCCGUACAGCCAAUCCAGGAACUCCUAAGAGAGAGACAGCUAAGGAGAUAUAUUCAGAUCUACUGGGAAGAGAAAUUGAAUCAUCACAAUCAUUUGUUAAUUCAGUAGAGCGGCGAUGUCGAGAAGGGGUCAAAUGAUGCUUUUUGGGUAAUACAAUGGACAAACGACUUAAACAACAGGGUGUUCCAUGACUGAUGUUUGCAGGAAUGUAAUUAAAUGUAUAGCCAGGACACGACCAGAACCAACCCGCAGGUAGUUCUGUGUAUUUAUACAGAUAGGAAAUAUUUACAUAAUCAGAGCAGUGGAAAUUAUCAGUGGCCAUUUUCACGCAGUUGGCUUUUGUGCAAUUCACCAUACGGGCGCAAGUGACAUUAAAGGAAGCCACGUAUGGGGUCGAUAAAUCAAUGGCCAGAGAUGGGCGGCGGCGCACUUGGUUACCCCAGACAUAAUAACCGGAAUAACCAAGGGUGCGGAGAGAAUCAUUCGUGGGUAGGGAUGAGAAAAACCAGGUAUCAUUUUGUAUAUCAAAAGGGUCAUGGCAAACAGGGAUAAGGCAGGAGCCAAGAAUUUCCCCUAUAGAUACAGUGGUGCCCCGCAAGACGAACGC